CAGCCGCCACGGUAAUACGUAGGGUGCAAGCGUUAAUCGGAAUUACUAGGCGUAAAGCGUGCGCAGGCGGUUUGUUAAGACAGAUGUGAAAUCCCCGGGCUCAACCUGGGAACUGCAUUUGUGACUGGCAAGCUAGAGUGUGGCAGAGGGGGGUGGAAUUCCGCGUGUAGCAGUGAAAUGCGUAGAUAUGCGGAGGAACACCGAUGGCGAAGGCAGCCCCCUGGGCCAACACUGACGCUCAUGCACGAAAGCGUGGGGAGCAAACAGGAUUAGAUACCCGUGUAGUCCCUGUCUCUUAUAC
rnacentral:rRNA from 1 species